CCACUAACACAGACAAUCCUAUGUGAAAAUGUCUGUAUUGCCCUCGACCUCAGCUAUAUAAAGCGAGGUGAUGUCUGAAUAAAAGGGGAAGUCCAGAGAAGAGAAAAUUUUGCAAACUUUCACUAAGUUCUCUCCAAUCUUCUCAUAAAUCUUCCUCCUCUAGGCGUAGUGAUAUUGGAAAGAUAGACCGAAUAAGAUGAGUGGGUUCAGCAAGUACUCAGCAGAAAUGAAGGCCAAAGAGUCUUAGGGUGAAGGCUAAUGGUAUUUGAAGACAAACACACAAUU